rnacentral:rRNA from 1 species
UACGGGGAGGAAGGCUUCGGCCAAAAACCUGUGCAUGAGUGGCGGACGGGUGAGUAACGCGUGGGCAACCUGGCCUGUACAGGGGGAUAACACUUAGAAAUAGGUGCUAAUACCGCAUAACGGGGGAAGCCGCAUGGCUUUUCCCUGAAAACUCCGGUGGUACAGGAUGGGCCCGCGUCUGAUUAGCCAGUUGGCAGGGUAACGGCCUACCAAAGCGACGAUCAGUAGCCGGCCUGAGAGGGCGGACGGCCACACUGGGACUGAGACACGGCACAGACUCCUACGGGAGGCAGCAGUGGGGGAUAUUGCACAAUGGGGGGAACCCUGAUGCAGCGACGCCGCGUGGGUGAAGAAGCGCCUCGGCGCGUAAAGCCCUGUCGGCAGGGAAGAAAAUGACGGUACCUGAAGAAGAAGCCCCGGCUAACUACGUGCCAGCAGCCGCGGUAAUACGUAGGGGGCAAGCGUUAUCCGGAUUUACUGGGUGUAAAGGGGGCGCAGACGGCGAUGCAAGCCAGGAGUGAAAGCCCGGGGCCCAACCCCGGGACUGCUCUUGGAACUGCGUGGCUGGAGUGCAGGAGGGGCAGGCGGAAUUCCUGGUGUAGCGGUGAAAUGCGUAGAUAUCAAGAGGAACACCGGUGGCGAAGGCGGCCUGCUGGACUGCAACUGACGUUGAGGCCCGAAAGCGUGGGGAGCAAACAGGAUUAGAUACCCUGGUAGUCCACGCCGUAAA